rnacentral:rRNA from 1 species
ACAAACCGGAGGAAGUGGGGAUGACGUCAAGUCAUCAUGGCCCUUACGGCCUGGGCUACACACGUGCUACAAUGGUCGGUACAAAGGGUUGCCAAGCCGCGAGGUGGAGCUAAUCCCAUAAAACCGAUCGUAGUCCGGAUCGCAGUCUGCAACUCGACUGCGUGAAGUCGGAAUCGCUAGUAAUCGUGAAUCAGAAUGUCACGGUGAAUACGUUCCCGGGCCUU